rnacentral:rRNA from 1 species
UACGUAGGGUGCAAGCGUUAUCCGGAAUUAUUGGGCGUAAAGGGCUCGUAGGCGGCUCGUCGCGUCCGGUGUGAAAGUCCAUCGCUUAACGGUGGAUCUGCGCCGGGUACGGGCGGGCUGGAGUGCGGUAGGGGAGAUUGGAAUUCCCGGUGUAACGGUGGAAUGUGUAGAUAUCGGGAAGAACACCGAUGGCGAAGGCAGGUCUCUGGGCCGUCACUGACGCUGAUGAGCGAAAGCGUGGGGAGCGAACAGG